rnacentral:rRNA from 1 species
GACGAACCGUGCAAACGUUGUUCGGAAUCACUGGGCUUAAAGGGCGCGUAGGCGGGCAAGCAAGUCGAAGGUGAAAUCCCACGGCUCAACCGUGGAAGUGCCCCCCGAUACUGCUUGUCUUGAGGGAGAUAGGGGCGUGCGGAACUUCCGGUGGAGCGGUGAAAUGCGUAGAUAUCGGAAGGAACACCGGUGGCGAAAGGCG